CGAGGCUUCACAGACCUGCAGGCGAGAGCAUAGACUGUAAAUAUUACUGGACGAACCCUGACCCGUCUGUUACAUAGGCAGCAAAUGAGUCCAAUCGAGGGCCGCAUCCAUAUUGGAUUUGCAGUCUCAACCUAACUUUGGAUCAAGCUAGCCACAGCAGUAAGGCGGGACCGGCGGGACUUAACUCCGCCCAUUCAGUUUGACGUUAGCAGUCCACUUCACAGCGUAGCUAACGGCUAGGCUGCUAUCAUCCCCUAUUCCUGCUCAUCCUGAGAAAACUCUAUAAACAACACAGUGUGGAUUAUUGGUGACUUGUCUGUCGAGGUGCCCAGAGAGCUGCAGAGACAGAGGAAGAAACCUGAGCCUCAACAACAUCUGCAUUUGUUGGUUCUUCUGGGGUUGACUUCUGUUGCUUCUCUUCAACAGCUCGCUGCGAGGGAGGUCUUCCCCGGAUGGCCUGAGUGAUGUCACCCACAUGCUGAGAGCUGGAGCUGAGGCGUGUUUUAAACCUCCUGACAAAACGUUACACCGCACCUGCCUGUCAAGCUGGUCAGCUACAUGCCUUAUUGUGAAUAACUCUUAUCCUUCAUCAAAUCAAACAACCCCCGUACAGUGUGUGUCGAUUGAGACAUGAGCUAAUCAGACCUAUUUGUUUGUUUUGUACCAAGCUGUAAACAUGUUAAUCUCUGCUGUAAAAACAGGCUUUUUGAAUGUGGUUUUCCAGAUUAAAUAAAUAUUUCUAUAUAAAUGCACUCCUUUAUAUCUACUUAUGAGUAUACAUUUCAGAUUUGAAAUGACAAGACUAAAAUGUGCAUUAAUGCUCAACUCAAUAGCUUAGGGAAGGAAGUCUACUUUUACACAACUUUUUAUUCUUUUGACAUUUUUUUUUUUACCAAAUACUAAUGUAGUUCAUUUCUUAAAAUGGGAUGAAACAGAGUCAUUGCAAAAUUUGUCAUUAAACACAGCCCCAUUCUUAAAUCAAGAUACAUGGAGAGUAAAUAAAAUCAAUAACUUGUGAAUAAGAAUUAUUUAGAAAUGUAGUCUUCCCAGAUCAAUAUCACAUAAUAUCAACUUCUCCCAUCUAAACUGGACAAAGGUUUUAAAAUGGGAAGAAAAUGGUUUGAUUGCAAGUUGUUUGGAGGAGGCCAUCUGCUGGCCAUCUUCUCUCACCAGAACUUCGACUGUUGAAAUGUCAUUCUGAAGAAGCUCGAGCAUGUGACAUGGAUCCAGGAGAACAUGGACUUUUAGUGCGGGGUCUUCAGGAUGACAAAGAAAGAGAGAAAAUAGCAGUUAUUCAUUAAAUAAUUUUUUUGCUCUCAUCUAUUUUUCUGUAUUCAUCUGUGUGUAAGAGUACAUUUAUAAAUUCAACAGUGUACUACCCAGACAACAAAGGUACAGUAUUCAGGUAAUCAACAUCUAUUUAAAGUUAAGAAGAUAAACCUUAUUGUAAUCAUGCUAUUUUCAGCUCUCUCACUCACUUGCACAAUGAUAUUCCACAUCAAAUUGUCUCAGAUUUUGGAGGAAAAAUUAAGCAAUUUAUUGUGGAUAGUACUUCAUCUUAACAUGAAACAAAUAUAACCUGAAUUAUUUAAAUCAUUAACAGGUCCCAACUCUCUGUGCUUUAGUACAGAACAUACAGUAGCUCAUUUAUUAUUAACAUGAGCUCAAUACAUGGCUGUAUUCUUCAAACUAUUUCUUGUACUUAUGGCUUUAUAUCUUAUUUUCAUUCCAUGUUAUUUAUGUUUUAUAUUUUAUAUUUCUACUGCUAUAUUCUUUGUAAGAGCAUCUGUAACGAUUAAGAACUAUAUUAAUAUCCAGAUAAAAUUUUCUCUGAACUCAUACAAAGUGAAUUUUUUUUUAAAUUUGGUAACAGUUUGCACAAAUCUUAAGACACUACAUCAAACAUGCAGUGUUAAUGUCAUCCUCUAUAACCUACACAACAUAUUAGGUUCAGUUGAGUUUAGUUUAUGUUACUGACGGAUAAUUACUACACAAAGUUUGUUUUUUAAUGUUGACAUUUACGUGGAGUAUUACAUUCAUCAUAACGUCAGAUAACCAUAUUUACAGUCUGUGGUUAACCACCGCGGUGAACCUUUAGCUUCUAACAUCACACAAACUCUGUCUUUUCAACAUCUUAACAACAAACAUUUCUAAACCAUUGUAAAUAAUGGGCUACACUGAGUAUAGUUAGCCGACUGGUUUACAAGCUAACGCUAAACAAGCUAGGUCCGUAAAUAUAAAUACCGACACAAGAGUAAGCAGUUAAUAUAACACUACUAUAUCACUUACCGAAAAAAACUGAAGCAUCAACUUGUUGGAUGGUCUGUUAACCGCACAGCAAGCCAUGUAUGUUGUCAGAUAUGUGUUAAACAAACUCUCCAAACGAAGUAAAAAAGAG